rnacentral:rRNA from 1 species
GACGAACGCUGGCGGCGUGCCUAAUACAUGCAAGUCGAACGCAGUGGGGACGGUUGAGUAACACGUGGGUAACCUCCCAUCAGAGGGGAUAACACUUGGAAACAGGUGCUAAACCGAUACUGAUGGAUGGACCCGCUGUGCAUUAGCUAGUUGGUGAGGUAACGGCUCACCAAGGCCACGAUGCAUAGCCGGCCUGAGAGGGUGAUCGGCCACACUGGGACUGAGACACGGCCCAGACUCCUACGGGAGGCAGCAGUAGGGAAUCUUCGGCAAUGGGCGAAAGUCUGACGGAGCAAUGCCGCGUGAAUGAAGAAGGUCUUCGGAUUGUAAAACACUGUUGUUAGAGAAGCGGUAUCUAAACAGAAAGCCACGGCUAACUACGUGCCAGCCGCCGCGGUAAUUC